AGGGCCUUGAAAUGCUUUCUACUUAGCAACAAAAAAGUGGUAUUAGCUGAAGUAAAUGCCAACCACUUUCAAAGAAUGACCAGAAGCCGCUGUGUUGUGCUGCCCCCCAUCCCUGGGGCUAUGUAAGCUGGCAAACUGCAGGAACCUCUCACAAAAUAAAGGACUUCUUCCUGAGUGAGGCAGCAACUCCAGGCCUCUGGUUCCUACUGAGCUCACUGACACUACAGCUCGUCUCCUGUUUAGAUCAGAAUCAUGCCCAGAGCCAUUCCUGUAUAAGAAAAUGACCCUGUAAGAAGAAAAAAGAGCCUUUUGUAUUUGUUUGAGAUCCAAUCUGUGUUGAAAGCACUCAACUGAUUUCUUAUUUUUUAGACAAUUUCGUUAACUGUGAAAAAAAGACUUAGUAUUGGAUAACCCAUUAGAGGACUUAGAGCUACAUCCAGAGCUUGUUCAGCCUUCGCUCUCAAAUGUCUUUCAGUGCAAGGUGCAUCAAUCAUUUUAAUCCUGCAGCUGCCUGUACUCUUCAGGAUUUAUUUUUCUGAUCAUCUUUGCUUUUCAAAAUUAUUUAGAUGGGAAUAAAGUUAAAAACAGAGUGAACAGCAGGAGUCACCUCCUGUACUUUAGGCAUUCUCUCUGAUGCAAAAAACUUUCACCUGCAAGAUUAUGUCUGGCAAAAGAUCUGUUUGUUAUGACCCUGAUGUGCUAAAGGAACAAAUUCCUUUCUGUAUUGUGUUCCCUGCAUCAUUUUGGAAUUUUUCUGUAUACUGUGUCCUGUACCAUGCACCUUGGAUUCCCUCAGAGAAGGGAGACCUUUUUGAGAUCUUCAGAAGUUUCAUUUCUGUUUGAAAAUAUACAAGGAUUUACAUUUUAAAAUUAAAAUAUGAGAUAUUUGUAGAGCUUUGAGUGAAAUCUUAGGGGAAUGCUUUCCUUUGCUGCUGAGAUUCAGAGUCCAUUGCCAUGUGGUUCUUCAAACACAUCAAUUCGUAAAAGCUGAUUUCUGAUUUCUAAAGUGUCUGAACUCCCAAGUGUAUGUAUGUGUAUCCUAAAAACAGCAUUUCAGAUGAGUAAAUGCAACAAUUUCAGAGACAAGCAACUUCAAGACAAGAGAAAAAAAGUACCAGAGUAAAGAAUAGGGAUGUUUAAAAUUAAAUGGACACAAAUAAUGUGCUGAUUUCCUGGUGAGAGUUGAACAUGUGGUGCAAGGUGCUGCUUGGAACCCAAGACAGGAUGGGAAGGAUCCAGCCUGCUCUCCUCGUCACCGUGUCUCUGCUCCAUACCUGCAUCCGGACAGGAAAGAGGAAUACGGGAUGCCACCAUGGGAUGCACAGGGCUGGGGAGAGGGGCAGGUGUGUAACAGGAAUUGGUAUUGCUAGGGCUGUUCUUUGGGGAGCCUCCUCGGUGUCAUCAUCGGAACAUCCCCGUGAUUCAGAUGCCUACAGUCACCACUAAACUUUUUGUGUGCCAAGAAGCCCGAACAAAGGCUUCAGGGAUAGGACACAAGGCACAAUUUCUACU